CUGAAGAUUAAGCCUUGUCUACUUGUCUAAUUUUUCAUAAUAUUUCUUGACAGAGCUACACCAACAUGUGUACGAGCUGUCAACCUGAGUGUUGAGAACUGUAGUGUUCCCGUAUGAUGGUAAACAUAUCACUUAACAAUCAAAAAGCUAAUUAUGUAUACCUUGGUGAAGGCUCUCCUGUUACCCACCUGAUCAAGCUCCUAGAAUGAGAAGAUGGUUGUGGUGCCUGUUACAAUGAGAUAAGCCAGAGCCAACUAAAGUGACAACAGUUGAGACAGACUCAGGUCCCAGAGAACAGGUUUCUUCAGGUAAAAAGGUGUAUGUGAUGAGGAAAUGCUCAUGCAGAAUAAUAAUUAACAAAUGAAAGU